ACUCCUACGGGAGGCAGCAGUGGGAAUCUUAGACAAUGGGGCAACCCGUGAUCUAGCCAUGCCGCGUGAGUGAUGAAGGCCUUAGGGUCGUAAAGCUCUUUCGCCAGGGAUGAUAAUGACAGUACCUGGUAAAGAAACCCCGCGUACUCCGUGCCAGCAGCCGCGGUAAUACGGAGGGGGUUAGCGUUGUUCGGAAUUACUGGGCGUAAAGCGCGCGUAGGCGGAUCAGAAA
rnacentral:rRNA from 1 species